rnacentral:rRNA from 1 species
AUGGAGGAAGAGGAUGAAAACCAUGGGUGGGGAGGCGGAAGUCAUGAGCAAAUAGAAUUUACUUAUGGUGUUGCUAAAAUUCAAGGAGAUGUUUUGGAUGAUCAGACAGGGCUGACUUUGUGGCUAUCUGUCAAGCAUGUAGUCAAGGUCGUCACAAGAUUUGAUGAGUACAAGAGAUGGCUUGUGUCUGAGAUUGGUUUUGAUGGUAUGCUCAAACUUCCAAUGCUGGGGAAGAUGGAUUUAAGGAUGAGUGUGUGGAUUAUGCGGAAGGUGAAGGUUAAGUUGCACACAAUAGUUGUUGAUGAAGAUAGGGUGAUUCCUUUUGUCCCAGAGGAUUUUCACAAAGUUUUUGGGGUGCCAUGCGGCAACCGUGCUGUUCGUGGAAGGGACCGCGAAAUCAAGACUGCAGCAGUAGAGUUCAUGAAGCUGACAAUUGGGAUGAAUGCAUCACCUGCUCACAAUUUGAAGGCGGCAAAAUAUUUUCUCAGUAGGGAUAUAACAGAGGACUCAAGCAAGAUUGAGAAGGAUUGUUUCCAGAUUUCUUUUGUUAUCUUUGUGAUGGGUUACGUAUUGUCAUCGGGCACAAAAUACGAGCACAUGACGAUUGACUUUUGGGGCGCUCUUGCCAAUACUGAAUUAAUAUCUCAAUUUAAUUUGUGCGAGUAUGCCGUUGAUAAUCUCAUGGCAGCCGUGAUCAAGUUGCAGAUGGAAUAUCAUAACAAGGCACAAGUAGUUCAUCUUUCCGGAUGUCAUUUGUUCUUUCAGAUUUUCUUGUUGGACAACAUUGAUCUUGGGAUUUUCAACAUGAUACAUUCUGUAUUCCCGCGAAUCCAGUGUUUUGACUAUAAAAUACUUCGUCAGAUGAUUACGAUGGCGCGGUGCGAGCAGCGAGGGAGUAUAACCUAUGUCCCUGGUGUUCUGCGGCCAGCAGAUUCUGUGUGCUAUGUCUGGGUCUUUGCGGCUAGCUCAUUGUGUAUGGAAGGUAAAUCACGUCCAUCUUCACCGAAGCAACCAUCUUCAAGGAUGUCUGUGACACCUAAAUAUCAGACAUCAAAGGUUCGCUUAGAUGGGAAGACAGGGCCAUUCAACUAUCUUGGGGACCCUAUGGCUGCGCAUAAGUCAGUGGGUCCAAGUGAUUUUAGCAAGUAUGUUCGUCAGAUUUGCAAAGAUGAUCCGGCCCUGCAGGAGUUGAGCCUCAUGUUGAAGCAGCACAAUGCCAAGUGCAUGUUGAGCACGACAUUGUUAAGGAACCAGUUGCAGUCUGACAUGUUCUUUUUUUGCGGAAAAAAUGGUUGA